UCACAGCGGUGCACGCCCAGCUCACCCAUA
rnacentral:piRNA from 1 species